rnacentral:misc_RNA from 1 species
GAGAGGAGGGAGGGGGAGUGGAUCCAUGUUGAGAAAACCAAGUAGUUUGAGACAGACGCUCAAAGGAUUGAGACAAAAAAUGUGAAUGAAUGUUUCAAUCAAUUAUACCUUGCAUUUAAAUUAGCAAGCAAGAUUUUCAUGGAAAGUCACAAGGCCUAGCUGCUACAUUGGCAAAAUUCAGGAACAUAUAUGAAUACAUGAAAUAGAACACGUCAAGAUCCUUGGCUAACAAAGUCAAAGAAUUGACAAUUCUUAUAACCAAAUCACAAGAUAUGAUCAGGGUUAUACUUUCGCAAGUAUAAAAACUGGAUUAGUAUCACAAUGAGGAUGGAAGUCCAAGUGUGCAGCAACAAACUCUCUUUUAUUAUAAAGUAUUUGAAAUGUUGAAAUUUAGAAAUAUAUAAGCCUAACUAAAACCAGUAAGGAUUGAGUAUAGAAC